ACCGGCAGCCAUAUCACCCUGUAGCCCAAGACUGGUUGCCCACUGAAGCUAAGCAGGGCUGAGCCUGGUCAGUACCUGGAUGGGAGAACUCCUGGGAAAACUAGGUUGCUGCUGGAA
rnacentral:rRNA from 1 species